UCCCCACAAAAAAUCCAAUUCUUUUUUGUCACCCAAAAACCACCACGCACACAUUCCAACGGAUCACUUCAUCUUCUUAGUGAAGAACCCAGCAAACGAUCCCACCAACAACGCCUGAACCUAAAAAUCCAGCGAGAAAAUCCAAUCCCCUUUGUCUCUCUCCAUAUUUGAAAAAAUUGCAAAUCUCGAGCCUGAAUUAUUGACUUUUGCUUAGAAAAAUUUUCUUCAAAUCUAAUCCGAAUCAAAGAAUAUCAAAAUGAAUCCGAAUUAUUAGGGAUAUAUAUUUUUUAAAAAUAAUUCAAAUGAACUGUUUUUUGGGCUAUAAAUUGUUGAUUUGUUUCAUUGAAAAAGGGGGGGAAUCAGGAGAGAAGUGGAGAAAUUUCGGAGUUCACCCCUUUGUUUCCUUUUUUUUUUUUACUCUUUUCCAGCUUUUGAGAUACUCCCGAAUUUUUUGUUAUCUUUUCUAAUCACUCACCCUCGUAACUCUGUGGAAGUAUAUUUUUCUCGAUUCGUAAUCCUAGUUCGUCGCCCAAAGCCAGGUAAUUUUCUUGUCGUUUUUCCUUUAAUCCUAUUUCUCUCCUUUAGUAUUUUGUUUGUGUGUUAGCUAUUUUAUAGAUGGUUAGUUUAGGAAUUAUCCUUCUCGCUUUAGUAUAUUUCUUAUGCUUUAAGUAUUUCCAGUAGCUUAAUUGUUCUGUUUCAGUCGAUGAUGGGUUCUUUUUGUCGUUCUUAUUGCUAUUACAAAGAAUGCUAAGUAUCUUGAUUUGUGUUUUAAUCUUUGCUCUCUUCGUUGUUGCUUCGAGCUUAGCUCAAUCUUCGCCUCAUUCAAUGUAAUAUGAUCUCAGUUUAAUUGAAUCUAGAUUCCAAAUGACAGCAUGAUCUCGUUCUAGCCUGCAUUUAGAUUUCGGAUAAUAGAGUGUCUCUAGUUCAUAGUUUAUUUAAAUGUCCUUCUAUGUUAGACACCAAAGAUUUUAGCUUCAUUCAUGUCUAAGUCUUAGCAUAGUAAGUUGACAAGAUUCUGUUUGUGAUUCCUUUGAAAAACAAAUGAGUAUCCUUUCAUUUGUUUGUUAAGCUAAACAUUUUUUUUCCAGAUUAUUGAACGUAUGUGGUAUGAGCUUAUGUUCUGCUAUUUCCCGUUUCUGAACCAUUUGAUAAAGUUCUGUUCUUGAACGUUUGUCCAGCAUAAUAGGAUAAGUGUGGCAUUCCAUUAACUAAUUAACUUGCAACUUUGUCUAAUUAUUAUGGCUUAAUGUGGCAGUAACAUAGCAAGCAGUUCAAGCCUCCUUUGCUUAUUUUAUCAUCUAUUUAUGGUUGUUGUCUUGUAAUUCAGAACAUGUGAACAUACAUUAGUAAUUCUAUUUAGCCGAGGUUAUAAAUCUGAAUGUGUUCUCCCUAGUUUUGAUAAAAUUUGCUCGUAAAAGUUCAUGUCUUUGACGAAUUUCUUUCUCUGUGAAAUACAUUUUUAUGGUUGAUUUAUGGAAGUCUGUUGUUUCUCAGUGGUACGUUUGAAUGAGCUUUAAUGAACACUUUAUCUAUUUGGUAUUUAGCAUUAUGUUUGAAUUGCCUUCUCUGUCUCCUCUCCCAUAAUAAAUCAUUUGAAACAUGCUCUUAAAAUCUCUCAAAAUUUGCCAGUUUGGGGUAGUAAUAUUUUUUUUUGAUUCAAAUAUAAUCAUUUGUUAAGUUUACUGAUUUAGUGAAUUAACUGAUAUUUGAGAAUUUGCGAUUUUUUUUCCUUUAGAAUAUUGAAAGAAUUUUUCUAUACUAAUUUGUGUGCUUUCUUUGCUUUGCAUGAACUCUUAUACCCGAGUCCAUUUAUACACGUUGAUAUACAUGGAAAUGUUCCACUGGCCCAAAAACGAGGCAGCCACAGAUAAGUUGAAAAUUAUGACAGGUUCAAGAUUAGGUUUAUUAAGCUACAGUUUGAAUUUGGGCAAAAGGCCUAAAUUUGUUAUUUGCUCUAUUUAAUUGCUUAUUCUUGUGAUUA